AUACAGAGGGUGCAAGCGUUAAUCGGAUUUACUGGGCGUAAAGCGCGCGUAGGUGGCUAAUUAAGUCAAAUGUGAAAUCCCCGAGCUUAACUUGGGAAUUGCAUUCGAUACUGGUUAGCUAGAGUAUGGGGGAGGAUGGUAGAAUUCCAGGUGUAGCGGUGAAAUGCGUAGAGAUCUGGAGGAAUACCGAUGGCGAAGGCAGCCAUCUGGCCUAAUACGGACACUGAGGGGCGAAAGCAUGGGGAGCAAACAGGAUUAGAUCCCCUGGUAGUCCAUGCCGUAAACGAUGUCUUCUAGCCGUUGGGGCCCUUGAGGCUUUAGUGGCGCAGCUAACGCGAUAAGUAGACCGCCUGGGGAGUACGGUCGCAAGACUAAAACUCAAAUGAAUUGACGGGG
rnacentral:rRNA from 1 species